rnacentral:lncRNA from 1 species
CCAGUUAUGAUGAACAUAUCAAAGAUAGACUUGAUGGGAAAGAAGGAUAUACAACUACCGAUUUACUAGGUAGAAGACCAAAGAGAGAGUAUCUGUCACCGGUUAAAGUGAACAUAUCAAGGAUAAACUCAACAUGAAGAAUAUUCGUCAUUGGUUAAGAUGAACAUAUCAAGGAUAGACUGCAAAUGAAAAACUAGAAAAAAUCAAAGAAGUAAAUUACCUUUUACUGGUUACUGGGUAAAUUAAC